GGUUGUCGUCAGCUCGUGUCGUGAGAUGUUGGUUAAGUCCCGCAACGAGCGCAACCCCUAUUGUUAGUUGCCAUCAUUCAGUUGGGCACUCUAGCGAGACUGCCGGUAAUAAACCGGAGGAAGGUGGGGAUGACGUCAAAUCAUCAUGCCCCUUAUGACCUGGGCUACACACGUGCUACAAUGGUUGGUACAACGAGUUGCGAGUCGGUGACGGCGAGCUAAUCUCUUAAAGCCAAUCUCAGUUCGGAUUGUAGGCUGCAACUCGCCUACAUGAAGUCGGAAUCGCUAGUAAUCGCGGAUCAGCACGCCGCGGUGAAUACGUUCCCGGGCCUU
rnacentral:rRNA from 1 species